rnacentral:rRNA from 1 species
GAUGAACGCUGGCGGCGUGCCUAACACAUGCAAGUCGAACGGAGCGCUUUUGAUGAAGUCUUCGGAUGGAAUCAGGAGUUGCUUAGUGGCGGAUGGGUGAGUAACGCGUGGGCAACCUGCCCUGUACUGGGGGAUAGCAGCUGGAAACGGCUGAUAAGACCGCGUAAGUCGUAGAUACCGCAUGAUAUUUACGGGAAAUGAGUAAUCAGGUACAGGAUGGACCCGCGUCCGAUUAGCCAGUUGGCAGGGUAAGAGCCUACCAAAGCGACGAUCGGUAGCCGGCCUGAGAGGGCGGACGGCCACAUUGGGACUGAGACACGGCCCAAACUCC